rnacentral:rRNA from 1 species
GACGAACGCUGGCGGCGUGCUUAACACAUGCAAGUCGAACGGAAAGGCCCUGCUUUUGUGGGGUGCUCGAGUGGCGAACGGGUGAGUAACACGUGAGUAACCUGCCCUUGACUUUGGGAUAACUUCAGGAAACUGGGGCUAAUACCGGAUAGGAGCUCCUGCUGCAUGGUGGGGGUUGGAAAGUUUCGGCGGUUGGGGAUGGACUCGCGGCUUAUCAGCUUGUUGGUGGGGUAGUGGCUUACCAAGGCUUUGACGGGUAGCCGGCCUGAGAGGGUGACCGGCCACAUUGGGACUGAGAUACGGACCAGACUCCUACGGGAGGCAGCAGUGGGGAAUAUUGCACAAUGGGCGGAAGCGUGAUGCAGCAACGCCGCGUGCGGGAUGACGGCCUUCGGGUUGUAAACCGCUUUCGCCUGUGACGAAGCGUGAGUGACGGUAAUGGGUAAAGAAGCACCGGCUAACUACGUG